AUUGAACGCUGGCGGCAGGCCUAACACAUGCAAGUCGAACGAGUGGCGGACGGGUGAGUAAUGUCUGGGAAACUGCCCGAUGGAGGGGGAUAACUACUGGAAACGGUAGCUAAUACCGCAUACCAUCGGAUGUGCCCAGAUGGGAUUAGCUUGUAGGUGAGGUAACGGCUCAACUAGGCGACGAGCCCUAGCUGGUCUGAGAGGAUGACCAGUCACACUGGAACUGAGAAACGGUCCAGACUCCUACGGGAGGCAGAAGUGGGGAAUAUGGCACAAUGGGCUCAAUCCUGAUGCAGCCAUGCCGCGUGUAUGAAGAAGGCCUUCGGGUUGUAAAGUACUUUCAGCGGGGAGGCGUUACCCUCAGAAGAAGCACCGGCUAACUCCGUGCCAGCAUCCGCGGUAAUAC
rnacentral:rRNA from 1 species